GUGUUUCACUCCGUUCAGGUAGUUCGAGUAGGAAGAUGUCCCGUCGAGUGUUAAUGUCGUCAGACCCUGCGUCACGCUGCGAACCACUGCCAGCAACAGCAAACACGAAGAGGAAAACAUUAAAAUAAUAAGAUGCAGCCCUGCCCAUCCUGCACGGCCUGCAGGCUCGGCACGCCACCCUGCCCUGAGUAAACAGCACCUGGAGGCUUUGUCGUGACCCUCCAUCACACUCAGACUCACAGCAGUGGCUCAACUCUUUAAGGCUCUGGCCAAAGAAGGCACUGGCUCUACAAAGAGGCAAUGUUUGGGUCAGCUCCUGAAAAACAUGGACGGCAAUGAUUAACUUUGUGUUUUCUAUGCUGAGUCAUGAUGAAAAAAAAGACACUCCACGUCAGACUUACACGACGAUCCUGCAGUUUCUCGCCUGGACGUAGCUUCCC